UACGGAGGAUGCGAGCGUUAUCCGGAUUUAUUGGGUUUAAAGGGUGCGUAGGCGGGAUGCCAAGUCAGCGGUAAAAAUGCGGUGCUCACGCCGUCGAGCCGUUGAAACUGGCGUUCUUGAGUGGGCGAGAAGUAUGCGGAAUGCGUGGUGUAGCGGUGAAAUGCAUAGAUAUCACGCAGAACUCCGAUUGCGAAGGCAGCAUACCGGCGCCCUACUGACGCUGAGGCACGAAAGCGUGGGUAUCGAACAGG
rnacentral:rRNA from 1 species